CUACGGGAGGCUGCAGUGGGGAAUAUUGCACAAUGGGGGAAACCCUGAUGCAGCAACGCCGCGUGGAGGAUGACACAUUUCGGUGCGUAAACUCCUUUUAUAUAAGAAGCUAAUGACGGUAUUAUAUGAAUAAGCACCGGCUAACUCCGUGCCAGCAGCCGCGGUAAUACGGAGGGUGCAAGCGUUAUUCGGAAUCACUGGGCGUAAAGGGUGCGUAGGCGGUUUGGAAAGUCAGGUGUGAAAGCCCGGGGCUCAACUCCGGAACUGCACUUGAAACUUCCAGACUAGAAUACUGAAGGGGCAGAUGGAAUUAGUGGUGUAGGGGUAAAAUCCGUAGAUAUCACUAGGAAUACCGAAAGCGAAAGCGAUCUGCUGGGAAGUUAUUGACGCUGAGGCACGAAAGCGUGGGGAGCAAACAGGAUUAGAUACCCUCGUAGUC
rnacentral:rRNA from 1 species